GGUUGCGGACAGUGUCUGGUGGGUAGUUUGACUGGGGCGGUCUCCUCCUAAAGAGUAACGGAGGAGCACGAAGGUUGGCUAAUCCUGGUCGGACAUCAGGAGGUUAGUGCAAUGGCAUAAGCCAGCUUGACUGCGAGCGUGACGGCGCGAGCAGGUGCGAAAGCAGGUCAUAGUGAUCCGGUGGUUCUGAAUGGAAGGGCCAUCGCUCAACGGAUAAAAGGUACUCCGGGGAUAACAGGCUGAUACCGCCCAAGAGUUCAUAUCGACGGCGGUGUUUGGCACCUCGAUGUCGGCUCAUCACAUCCUGGGGCUGAAGUAGGUCCCAAGGGUAUGGCUGUUCGCCAUUUAAAGUGGUACGCGAGCUGGGUUUAGAACGUCGUGAGACAGUUCGGUCCCUAUCUGCCGUGGGCGCUGGAGAACUGAGGGGGGCUGCUCCUAGUACGAGAGGACCGGAGUGGACGCAUCACUGGUGUUCGGGUUGUCAUGCCAAUGGCACUGCCCGGUAGCUAAAUGCGGAAGAGAUAAGUGCUGAAAGCAUCUAAGCACGAAACUUGCCCCGAGAUGAGUUCUCCCUGACCCUUUAAGGGUCCUGAAGGAACGUUGAAGACGACGACGUUGAUAGGCCGGG
rnacentral:rRNA from 1 species